CGGAGAACCGUUUUUGAGGGCUAUUGGACUUCUAAACCAAAAGCUCUUGGCAAGACCUGAACUGGAAACAGCCUUUGAGAAUGGAGAGGCGAUCAAAACGUGAGCUAGACUAUGUAAGCAAAGAGCAAGACACCUGUAGUGGAAGCGAGAAGACCUCAGACAGUGAAAAAGUGUCAAAAAUGGAAAACAUGUUGAAGAAGGUGCUGUUAGAAAACCAGCAGCUGAAAAAUGCUGUA